AGUGACGUCUGCCCAGAGAGCCAGUCCCAGAGUUGCGGCUGUUUGGCUUGCUGCGUAAGCGCCCGGGUCUUCCGGGCGUACUGGAGUCCGGUCUUUGCCCAGCAGUCCCUGCAAAUCUCGUCUUGCUUGAAACAAUAGAUUAAAACCAGACUGGCAGUUGGGGAACGCUUUCUAUUGCAACCAUGUGUGUCAGAAGAAAGGAUUAGGUUUCCUUGUCCAAGAACAUCAAGGGGAACCUCCACCUCUGCAGACACACCUUUAUUCCUCGAGUACAGCUCUUCAAAGAAGACAGAGAAUUGCUCCUAAAAGCCCUUCUUGAACCACGAUGAUCCACCUAGAGCACUAUGAUACCUGGAGGUAGUAGAGAAAAGCAAUUUUAUUUGAGAUGGUGAUGAACCGUGCUAAAAGGAUGUCAUUCCCAGUCGUUCUUGCAGCUAGGUCUGUCUGUGUAAUUUUUUUGCUGUAUAAUACUCCAUUCUAUGAAGGUAACAUAAUUUGUUCACCCAUUCUACUGUUGAUGGACAGGUGAGUUAUUUUAACCUUGGGGAAAAUAUGAAUCAUGUUGCUAUGAGCAUUCUUGUACAUGUACUGUAGUUGACAAGUACAGGAGUUGCUUUAGCCUAGGUGCCCAGAAGUAGAAUUCUGGGCCAUGGGGUAUGUAUAACUUCAAAUUUAACAACAGUUUUCAAAACAGGUUGCACUAAUCUGUACUCUCACUAACUGAGAAUUCCAAGAGCUCCACAUUCUCAUCACACCUGACAUUACUGGACUUGAUCAAUUCUAUGAACCUGGUGAGCCUGAGAAUUUUCCAGCUAUGAAAAGAAUGGAAGCAAUUCGUGGCAGAGGAAAUAAUAUAUGUAACAGUCUAGUGGAAUGAAUGAACUUGAAGCAAAUCCCCCUCAAGAGAGGCCUACAGAGACUGUGGCCCCUGUGGAUAGCUUGACUGCAACCUUAUGAGAUCUGGAACCUCUCCUAUAAGUCACUCUGCAUCCUUGACCCAGAGAAGCCCUGAAAUAGUAGGUAUUUGUCAUUCAUUUUUAAACUGCUAAAUUUUGGGGUAAUCUGCAGUAUAGCAAUAUAUAAUUAUACAACAUACUUUUCUCAUUUUUCCAAAUGAGAAAAAUUUUUCAUUU